rnacentral:rRNA from 1 species
CACGGGGGGAGCAAGCGUUGUUCGGAAUCACUGGGCGUAAAGGGCGUGUAGGCGGUCAUGUAAGUGGAAUGUGAAAUCCCUCGGCUUACCCGAGGACCUGCAUCCCAAACUGCAUGACUUGAGUACGGGAGAGGAUGAGGGAAUUCCUGGUGUAGCGGUGAAAUGCGUAGAUAUCAGGAGGAACACCGGUGGCGAAGGCGCUCAUCUGGCCCGUUUCUGACGCUGAGGCGCGAAAGCUAGGGUAGCGAACGGG